AGUCUCUUUGGUUGCCCCCAACUCUCAACUUUCUCUCCAUUCAUCCUUCAAACCAUUGACAGCAUGCCAAAGAAAUCAUUUGAGUAUUUGACUCUGGAUCUUUAAGUGAAAAGGAAACUCAUGAACGACGGAUCUAUCUGACAGAAAAAGGGUUUUGAACUUCACGGUGUUCUUGUGGGUGAUGAUUGUGCUUGCACUUUACUACCGAACAAAAUCUCUCUUUUCUUUGAUCAGGAGCUAGAAAAUAUCCAGUUGGAGUAUGAGUUUGAGUGCAAGGGUCAAACCUAUGGAUUUCCGGUCUACGUCUGUCAGGAUUCACCCCACGGAGCCAGAAGCUCAUGUUCAAAGUUCUUUAGCAGUUGCUUGGCAUCCAGGUAUGCUAAUUUUAAUUGAGUAGUUAGACCUGUCUUUACUUGCAUAAUACCUUGUGAAUUGUUGGGAGUUUGGGCAGACGAAUGCGUGGAUAUCUAGGGUUGUUUAGGGUGGUAAGGUACUUAACUUGAUGAUAUUAAUCUUGCGAUUGUUGCUAGGUGUUAUUCUAGGGUUGGUAACCGGUAGGUCGUAAGUGGGAAAAGUUGUUCGAAAAGAGUUGUCCAAGAGUAGGUGAUGGUUGUUGUUUUUCAAGUUAUGUAAUGUGUGCAUAUUAAUUGUCUCUAUUGUAAAACUUGUACAAUGCAUGUUGGGGAAAACAUAAGGGUUUGGAUGUGAAAUGAUCAAUUCUUGACAAUCUC